rnacentral:rRNA from 1 species
UACAGAGGUCCCAAGCGUUGUUCGGAUUCACUGGCCAUAAAGGGUGCGUAGGUGGUCAGGUAAGUCGGAUGUGAAAUCUCCGAGCUCAACUCGGAAACUGCAUUGGAAACUACCUGGCUCGAGGGUUGGAGGGGGGACUGGAAUGCUUGGUGUAGCAGUGAAAUGCGUAGAUAUCAAGCGGAACACCAGUGGCGAAGGCGAGUCCCUGGACAACUCCUGACACUGAUGCACGAAAGCUAGGGGAGCAAACAGG